AACGAACGCUGGCGGCAUGCCUAACACAUGCAAGUCGAACGAGACCUUCGGGUCUAGUGGCGCACUGGUGCGUAACGCGGGGGAACCUGCCCUUAGGUUUGCAAUAACUUCCCGAAUGGGGUGCUAAUACGGGAUCAUGUCUCCGGACCAAAGAUUUAUCGCCUUUGGAUGGGCCCGCGUUGUAUUAGCUAGUUGGUAGCGUAAAAGCCUACCAAGGCGACGAUCCAUAGCUGGUCUGAGAGGAUGGUCAGCGACACUGGUAGGGGGACACGGCCCAGAAUACUAGGGAAGGCAGCAGUGGGGAAUAUUGGACAACGGGGGAUGGCAUGAUGGAGCAAGGACGCGUAAGUGCUGUAGGUCUUAAGGUUGUAAAGCUCUUUUACACGGGAUGCUAAUGACGGUACCGGGAGAAUAAGCUCCGGCUAACUCCGUG
rnacentral:rRNA from 1 species